CCAAAGCUCACAGGCCUGACCUGGCUCUGAAAACUCGGGAGGAAGUGAGUUCCUGAUUUAUGAGGACAGUUACUUAAUCAUGCAAAUAUCUACACAGAGCUAUGGGUUUGGAGCUGUGACCGAUCCAAAAUAGUGUGUGUGUUUGUAUAUGUUGUGAGCACAUGUGAACAUGUGUGCAUAUGUGUAUAUGUGCAUGUGUGUUGUGUGCACAAUG
rnacentral:lncRNA from 10 species